GAUGAACGCUGGCGGCGUGCUUAACACAUGCAAGUCGAACGAUGAAGCCCAGCUUGCUGGGUGGAUUAGUGGCGAACGGGUGAGUAACACGUGAGUAACCUGCCCUUGACUCUGGGAUAAGCCUGGGAAACUGGGUCUAAUACUGGAUAUGACUUCUCAUCGCAUGGUGGGGGGUGGAAAGAUUUAUUGGUCUUGGAUGGACUCGCGGCCUAUCAGCUUGUUGGUGAGGUAAUGGCUCACCAAGGCGACGACGGGUAGCCGGCCUGAGAGGGUGACCGGCCACACUGGGAAUGAGACACGCCCCAGACUCCUACGGGAGGCAGCAGUGGGGAAUAUUGCACAAUGGGCGCAAGCCUGAUGCAGCGACGCCGCGUGAGGGAUGACGGCCUUCGGGUUGUAAACCUCUUUCAGUAGGGAAGAAGCGAGAGUGACGGUACCUGCAGAAGAAGCGACGGCUAACUACGUG
rnacentral:rRNA from 1 species